CCAACAUGGAUAUCCUGGGAGGUCACUCUCCCCAGGCUCUGUCCUGGUGGCGUAGGGGAGCACAGGGCUCUGCCCUAUGAUGUACAGUCCCUUUCCAGGACAUUGGAGAUGAAGCUGGGCCUUGAGUCUGCGCCUGCAUAUUCCUACGGCUUCUCAGAGUCCUGUGGACCAUGACUGAGGAGAUAAACCAUGCAGGAAACAUUA
rnacentral:snoRNA from 1 species